CUCUCCAUUUCUUACACAGCGCAGAUAUUUCUCCCUGUCCAGCCGCCGCUCAUGGCCUGUAAAAAAAUCCUGCCGCCGAGGACCUGUCUUCUCCUCCCAGCCGACGCGCGCUCAUCUCCCUGAGCUCUCUCUUAUGCUGUGUCCCUGGCUCCAGCUCGUCGAAUCCCCUCUGCUCACUCAUGGCGCUCGGCUUCCGUGCCCCUGAGCGCUCCCAUGGCGCCCGGCAUUUCUCCCUGGCCGUGCUCGCGCCCCUGUGGCCGCGGCUCUCCCUCUGGUCUCAGGGAUGCGCACGCCCCAUCUCCAUGGCGCUCGGCGCCCAACUCUCCUUGGCGGACUCACACCUCCGUGUCGUGUCUGCUCGUCCAUGCUCGUCGACCCCGAUGACCUAUCUUUCAAUUGCAUGCUACUUACAUUGGGAUCUAAAGCUCUCUGUCGUGCUCGACCGUACAAGUCUCCAACUCGUCGACAUCCUUUGCGUCGUCGAAAAAUCCCGAGAGUUUGAAUAAAGCAACAAAUCCCAUGUGAUGCAAUAUUUGCCGAGAGCUCGACCAGAUGUCUAAACUGAGAACCAUCGUCGCCCUCGCGGUUAUCAAAUCGAUUCGAUCGUGGAACCUUAAUUAAUUGUGAUGCGGAGGACCAGAACUGAGUCGACCACAAGAUGAUGCUGAUGGACGAAACUGAAGAUGGACAGACGAAACAAGUAUCAGAACAAAAGAUGGUCGCCAUCUAACAACACUAACCUAGUGUUAUUCAGGCAAGCCCUGGUGCAUUUGCCACCUCCUUGCUGUUUUAAAAACUUUUAUCACCUUGUUUGAUGUGUUAGGUGAUAUGAGUUGUGUGCUAAACAAUUGAUGCAUUUCCUUCCUUGGAAAAUUGAUUACCCUUCCUUGA